rnacentral:rRNA from 1 species
UUUACGGAGAGUUUGAUCCUGGCUCAGGAUGAACGCUAGCGGUGUGCCUAAUGCAUGCAAGUCGAACGGGAACCUUGGAUACGUCUGAGGUGAGAGUGGCGAACGGGUGAGUAACACGUAGGUGACCUACCCUGGAGAGGGGGACAACCACUGGAAACGGUGGCUAAUACCCCGGAUGUUAUACAAAUUAGAAAGGUAUAACUAAAAGCUGAGGCGCUCUAGGAGGGACCUGCGGCCCAUCAGCUAGUUGGUAAGGUAACGGCUUACCAAGGCAGAGACGGGUAGGGGGCGUGAGAGCGCGAACCCCCACACUGGUACUGAGACACGGACCAGAUACCUGCGGGUAGCAGCAGCAAGGAAUAUUG